GGAAGAGAAAGGAGGAUGUAGUUUUUGGAGUGAAGGAGGAGAAAGAGGGAGAGAUAACGGUCAUAUUGACAGAGGAGUCAGGAGAUCUGAUUACCAUCAGAGAGAGACCAGACUCUGACAGCAGGAAGAGUUCCUCAGGGGAAACAGACCCAGAGACGCCUAACCAACACCACUGCUCCCACUGUGGAAAGAGUUUUAGGUGGUUAGGGAGCCUGAAAAUGCAUGAGAGAACACAUACAGGAGAAAAGCCCUACCACUGUUCCCACUGUGGAAAGAAUUUUACUCAGUUAGGGGCCCUGGUUGGACAUGAGAGAACACACACGGGAGAGAAGCCUUAUCACUGUUCCCACUGUGGAAACAGUUUUAGGUGGUUAUGGGUCCUGAAAAAGCAUGAGAGAAUACACACGGGAGAGAAACCUUAUCACUGUUCUCACUGUGGAAACAGUUUUAGGUGGUUAGUGAGCCUGAAAACGCAUGAGAGAAUACACACAGGAGAAAAGCCUUUCCAAUGUUCCCAGUGUGAAAAGAGUUUUAGGUGGUCGGGGAGCUUGAAAAAGCAUGCGAGAAAACACACAGGAGAAAAGCCUUUCCAAUGUUCCCGAUGUGAAAAGAGUUUUAGGUGGUCGGGGAGCUUGAAAAAGCAUGCGAGAAAACACACAGGAGAAAAGCCUUUCCAACAUACUAAUACACAGGAGGAGAAGACAUACCACUGUUCUCAUUGUGAAAAGACAUUUUCCCAGUCAGAGGACCUGAAAUCACACGAGAGAAUAGAGAGGCUGUGUUCUGACUUGUGUUUCUGACUGAGAAUUUGUCCACGGCCAGGAUUCAUAGGGCCAGGGUGUCCGCUAUGGACGCCUGGAAAAAAUCAGCAGUGGACAUUUCUGAACGUUUAUCCAACAGACCUGUACAUCCAUGAAUGGAUCUCUAUAAUGUGUAACUAUUUCUGAUGUAUGUGUUGUGAUGAAUUGUUUAAUAGAUGUACUAUGUUAGGUAUAUUUAUCUGUGGUUUAAUUUCAACAGAUUUUACUGAUGCUAUUAGAUUGCUGUGUGGGGGGAGUUUUAUAUAUACAGUGCCUUCAGAAAGUAUUCACACCC